rnacentral:rRNA from 1 species
GUCCUUGCCUUAAACGAUGUAUACUUGACGUAGCUGGGCUCAACCCUAGCUGUGUCGUAGCUAACGCGAUAAGUAUACCGCCUGGGGAGUACGCUCGCAAUGGUGAAACUCAAAAGAAUUGACGGGGACCCGCACAAGCAGUGGAGUAUGUGGUUUAAUUCGAUGCAACGCGAAGAACCUUACCUGGGUUUGACAUGCAAGAGACCGCGGCAGAAAUGUCGCUUUCCCGAAAGGGACUGUUGCACAGGUGCUGCAUGGCUGUCGU